UUGACCUCGGAUCAGGUAGGGAUACCCGCUGAACUUAAGCAUAUCAAUAAGCGGAGGAAAAGAAACCAACCGGGAUUGCCCCAGUAACGGCGAGUGAAGCGGCAAAAGCUCAAAUUUGAAAUCUGGCCCCUCCGGGGUCCGAGUUGUAAUUUGCAGAGGAUGCUUCGGGUGCGGCCCCUGUCUAAGUGCCCUGGAACGGGCCGUCAGAGAGGGUGAGAGCCCCGUCUUGGGCAGGGUGCCCGCGCCCGUGUGAAGCUCCUUCGACGAGUCGAGUUGUUUGGGAAUGCAGCUCUAAAUGGGUGGUAAAUUUCAUCUAAAGCUAAAUACCGGCCGGAGACCGAUAGCGCACAAGUAGAGUGAUCGAAAGAUGAAAAGCACUUUGAAAAGAGAGUUAAACAGCACGUGAAAUUGUUGAAAGGGAAGCGCUUGCGACCAGACUCGCCCCCGGGGUUCAGCCGGCAUUCGUGCCGGUGUUCUUCCCCGGGGGCGGGCCAGCGUCGGUUUGGGCGGCCGGUCAAAGGCCCCGGGAAUGUGUCGCCCUCCGGGGCGUCUUAUAGCCCGGGGUGCAAUGCGGCCAGCCCGGACCGAGGAACGCGCUUCGGCACGGACGCUGGCGUAAUGGUCACAAACGACC
rnacentral:rRNA from 1 species